rnacentral:rRNA from 1 species
UUCUUGGUCAUUUUAAAAGAAGUAAAAGUCGUAACAAGGUUUCCGUAGGUGAACCUGCGGAAGGAUCAUUACCGAGUGAGGGCCCUCUGGGUCCAACCUCCCACCCGUGUUUAUUUUACCUUGUUGCUUCGGCGGGCCCGCCUUAACUGGCCGCCGGGGGGCUUACGCCCCCGGGCCCGCGCCCGCCGAAGACACCCUCGAACUCUGUCUGAAGAUUGUAGUCUGAGUGAAAAUAUAAAUUAUUUAAAACUUUCAACAACGGAUCUCUUGGUUCCGGCAUCGAUGAAGAACGCAGCGAAAUGCGAUACGUAAUGUGAAUUGCAAAUUCAGUGAAUCAUCGAGUCUUUGAACGCACAUUGCGCCCCCUGGUAUUCCGGGGGGCAUGCCUGUCCGAGCGUCAUUGCUGCCCUCAAGCACGGCUUGUGUGUUGGGCCCCGUCCUCCGACCCCGGGGGACGGGCCCGAAAGGCAGCGGCGGCACCGCGUCCGGUCCUCGAGCGUAUGGGGCUUUGUCACCCGCUCUGUAGGCCCGGCCGGCGCUUGCCGAUCAACCCAAAUUUUUAUCCAGGUUGACCUCGGAUCAGGUAGGAAUACCCGCUGAACUUAAGCAUAUAAUUAAGCGGAAGAA